rnacentral:lncRNA from 1 species
CUUAAGGUGUUGUUGUCCCGUCGGACAAGUUUUGGGAGUUAACACACUUGCAAGAUGGUUUGAGAGCUGCACUUUGUGAUGUUUUUCUACAUUCAUCGGAACUCCCGAGUGAUCAUCUGGUGCACCGAAGGUUCCAAACAGUGCAUAGACGCUGGCAAAGUUUUUGGCAGACACGUUAACUUCUGGUGCUCAUCAGCGAGAGGUUGCAAUGGAGGUUAGGGACAAUGUAGUCGGACAACAAGGGUUUUACAAAAAAUGGUCACCGAAUCUAUUGCUGCAGAACUUUUAUCCAUUCAAACUUUACAUCUUAAUGUUUAGAUAUAUAACAAAACUUUAGCCAUACAGACACAACACAUGCCCCAUGACAUUUUUGCCUAGUUUUAGGCCUCUUCGGUCCUAAAUGCCAAAAGUUUUGUAGUCUAAGUUUUGCCCUUUUUUAUUUAUGUUGUUUAGAUCCAUUUUGCUAAAAAAAAUAAGGUAAAACGAUAAAAGUUUUGGCAAAAGAGGGGACUAAACUCCCCUAAUAGUUAAUGGAAGGUGUAAAAAGCUUCUGGUCGAUUUCUACAGCUCACUGGAAACCUCUGGCAUGUGAACCGAAGCCCUCAGCGGAGAGCUCGCCCAAAGAGGUAUUUGGAUGCUUGUGUUUUCGACAGAGCUAGCAUAUGACGAUCGAAGCCCACAUAUAGAGAUUGACUUUGACCAUGUAGCCACAUAGACAGUAUGUAACGAUAAAUGAUACGGAUUUGGGAAAAAAAGAAAAAGAGAUAAAAGAAAACGAAAAAGAUAAAACCUGCUUUAUUUGAGACAAAAACAGAUGAGAAGCAGCUGUGCCUCACCUGGAUCAGGCAUAGCAGGGCGAUUGGUUCGGCCCACGAAAACGCGGCGGGGGUGACGUGGGCCUUGCACGAUAGAUUGGCUUUCAGUUGGGCCGAGCUGUAUAUUGGUUAUAUAUAACUUAAAGACUUCCUCCGUUAUUGGCUAGCUGAUCGCGACGACCUAGCGCUCCCACGACACGACGCCAUCGUUGUAGCCGCCGCCGCCGCCGCCGACGGCGACGACCAAGACGAGGUGAUCCUUUAAACCAUCCCUCCGCAUUGAUCUGCUUUCUUUGUGUGUUCGCCACAGCUAUACUCUCUUGGUCGAUAAAUCCACUU